rnacentral:rRNA from 1 species
AGUGGGGGCAUGCUAUACAUGCAGUCGAGCGGACAGAUGGGAGCUUGCUCCCUGAUGUUAGCGGCGGACGGGUGAGUAACACGUGGGUAACCUGCCUGUAAGACUGGGAUAACUCCGGGAAACCGGGGCUAAUACCGGAUGGUUGUUUGAACCGCAUGGUUCAGACAUAAAAGGUGGCUUCGGCUACCACUUACAGAUGGACCCGCGGCGCAUUAGCUAGUUGGUGAGGUAACGGCUCACCAAGGCGACGAUGCGUAGCCGACCUGAGAGGGUGAUCGGCCACACUGGGACUGAGACACGGCCCAGACUCCUACGGGAGGCAGCAGUAGGGAAUCUUCCGCAAUGGACGAAAGUCUGACGGAG